rnacentral:rRNA from 1 species
GUACGGAAGGGAUAAGCGCUGAAAGCAUCUAAGCGUGAAGCCCCCCUCAAGAUGAGAUUUCCCAGUAUGUAAGACCCCUUGUAGACGACGAGGUAGAUAGGUUCGGGGUGGAAGCGCGGCAACGUGUGCAGCUGACGAAUACUAAUCGGUCGAGGGCUUAACCAAACAUCCC